rnacentral:rRNA from 1 species
GGAGGUAGUGACAAUAAAUCACAAUGCGGAACUUCUGUUUUGCAAUUGGAUUGAGAACAACGCACAACACUUAUCGAUAAACAAUUGGAGGGCAAGUCUGGUGCCAGCAGCCGCGGUAAUUCCAGCUCCAAUAGCGUAUAUUAACGUUGUUGCAGUUAAAAAGCUCGUAGUUGAAGUGAAGUGUGAACCUUCUGGAUUUUCGUUCGAAUUUCUUGCUGGUUCGCACUCUUUCCAAAUAGUUUGCAUGGGUAUUCACUUAUCUGUGUAUUGCAUUUGGUCAUUUACUGUGAGAAAAUUAGAGUGUUCAAAGCAUACGUUUGUUUGAAUACAUUAGCAUGGAAUAAUUCGAAAAGGCUUUCAUGUUCGAUUUGAUUGGUUUGUUCGUGAAGGCAAGAUUAAAAGGGACAGUUGGGGGUAUUCAUAUUCAAUAGUCAGAGGUGAAAUUCUCGGAUUUAUGGAAGAUGAACAAGUG